AUGAGCAAGCGGACGAAGGCAUACACGACGGCCGAGGACAAGCUUCUUUGCGAGUGUUGGCGAGACAUUGGACAAGAACCCAAGACGGGUGCCAAACAAAAUCAUUCAACUUUUUGGAUUCGUGUCCACCGGGAGUUUCAUGAGCGCAAGAAGUUUCCGCCUUACCAAAUAGUGAGCACGCGUGGGUGGGUGUCCAUUUCGAAGCGAUGGAGAGUGAUCCAACAAGAGUGCAACAAGUUUUGUACCACUCUUGAGAGCGUCAAGGCCCGCCCCGUGAGCGGCAUCGGCAUGCAAGACAUGGUAUGCUAG
rnacentral:rRNA from 1 species